rnacentral:rRNA from 1 species
AAUAUUGCGCAAAGGAGGGGACUCUGACUCAUCGACGACGCGUGAGUGAUGAAUGACUUCCGAUCGUAAAGCUCUGUCGUUGUGGAAGAAGAACUUCGGAUUUGACGGUACCCAAGGAUGAAGCCCCUGCUACCUUCGUUCCAGCAGCCGCGGUAAUACGUAGUGGCCAAGCGUUGUCCGGAAUUAUUGGGCGUAAAGGGUGCGUAGGCGGCCUUUUAAGUCAGAUGUGAAAGACCACGGCUUAACCGUGGGGUUGCAUUUGAAACUGGAGGGCUUGAGUAUCGGAGAGGGUAGUGGAAUUCCCAGUGUAGCGGUGGAAUGCGUAGAUAAUGGGAGGAACACCAGUGGCGAAGGCGACUACCUGGACGAAAACUGACGCUGAUGCACGAAAGCUAGGGGAGCAAACA